UACGAAGGGGGCUAGCGUUGCUCGGAAUCACUGGGCGUAAAGCGCACGUCGGCGGAUUGUUAAGUCAGGGGUGAAAUCCUGGAGCUCAACUCCAGAACUGCCUUUGAUACUGGCGAUCUUGAGUCCGGGAGAGGUGAGUGGAACUCCGAGUGUAGAGGUGAAAUUCGUAGAUAUUCGGAAGAACACCAGUGGCGAAGGCGGCUCACUGGCCCGGUACUGACGCUGAGGUGCGAAAGCGUGGGGAGCAAACAGG
rnacentral:rRNA from 1 species